GGUCACUCAGUGGUAGAGUGCUUGCCUUGCAUGCAUGAGGUCCUGGGUUCAAUUCCUCAGAACCA
rnacentral:tRNA from 1 species